ensembl:snoRNA SNORA58B small nucleolar RNA SNORA58
UUGCAUAUAUGUAGACCUUGCCUGACCCUUCAUGGUCAGCCAAGGGGGACAGUGUAUGCCAGAGUGAUGUGGAGUUCUGCCAGCUCUAACCAGCUGAAUCAGUGGCUGGAUGAAACACAGGGCUCCAACAUUC